rnacentral:tRNA from 1 species
AAAAAGCCGGAAUAGCUCAGUUGGUAGAGCAGAGGACUGAAAAUCCUCGUGUCACCAGGUUCAAAUAA